rnacentral:rRNA from 1 species
GGCCAGACUCCUACGGAGGCAGCAGUGGGGGAUAUUGCACAAUGGGGGGAACCCUGAUGCAGCGACGCCGCGUGGGUGAAGAAGCGCCUCGGCGCGUAAAGCCCUGUCAGCAGGGAAGAAAAUGACGGUACCUGAAGAAGAAGCCCCGGCUAACUACGUGCCAGCAGCCGCGGUAAUACGUAGGGGGCAAGCGUUAUCCGGAUUUACUGGGUGUAAAGGGGGCGCAGACGGCGAUGCAAGCCAGGAGUGAAAGCCCGGGGCCCAACCCCGGGACUGCUCUUGGAACUGCGUGGCUGGAGUGCAGGAGGGGCAGGCGGAAUUCCUGGUGUAGCGGUGAAAUGCGUAGAUAUCUGGAGGAACAUCAGUGGCGAAGGCGACUAUCUGGCACAUAACUGACGCUGAGGAGCGAAAGCGUGGGUAGCAAACAGGAUUAGAUACCCUUGUAA